rnacentral:lncRNA from 1 species
AAUUUCUUGUUUGAUAUGAUUUUGUUAUAUUACAGUAAAAUUGAAUGUCAUUGAUUGUUUGCUUGAGAAAAUAUGCAGGAUUAAGGUAAAAGAAUUAUUCUUUAUAUAAAAUUUUGAUUUUAGUUUUAUAUGAUUGGAUAGUUUAAUUCACUAUUUACUUAUAUAAUUUAUUCAUCUUUUAACUGCAUAGAUGAAAAAGAGCAAUAUGGAGAUUGAAGGCGAAAGAGAAAAUAUGCAAGGUUGCAAGAAAAAUACAAAAGAAAAUUGACAUUCAUUACAAGGUUAGAUAUCCAACUCAAAUUAUUUUUUUUAAUAUUAAAAUAUUAUAUUUCUUGUAAUUAUUUUGUAUUUUGAACUAUUGGACAUGUUGCAUCAAAUUGUAGGUAAUAUACUAUCAAAAUUAAACUAUUGAUUAUAUAAUGUCGAGAAUUUCAAUCGACUCGUUUAGAGCUCGAGCUCGCUCGACUCGAAAUUAGGCUCGCUCGAGCUCGUCUUGAAUUAAUUUCAAGC